rnacentral:lncRNA from 1 species
AACUAUGUGGGACAUAUACGGGAAGGUUGUUUUGGAGGCCUGAGCUGGAGGAAUAUUUGAUGCCUCAGUAUAUGAGGCAGAGAAGCCUAUUGGAAAGAGCUUCUUAUUGCUCUGAAGCAGAAUAACUCGAAUAACUUGCGGAGCACAACUGGCUUUGCCCUGCUGGGAGAGCAGCUUUCACCCAUCCGCGUAUCAUGGAGGUAGGUUUGAGUCAGGAGAGAAAGUCAUCAAGGGAUUAGGAGCCCAGAUUGCUUUCAGAGAGAAAGCUGCCAUGUGGUGUGGAGCCAACCUUCAGCAUUCAGGACAUAACCCUUC